rnacentral:rRNA from 1 species
AAUCCGACCUAGGCUCAUCUCGGAGUGUGAGGCCUUACGGUCCCCCACUUUGGUCUCUCGACAUCAUGCGGUAUUAAUCCGGGUUUCCCCGGGCUAUCCCCCGCUCUAAGGUAGAUUCCUAUGUAUUGCUCACCCGUCCGCCGCUCGCCGGCACCCUUGCGGGCCCGCUGCCGCUCGACUUGCAUGUGUUAGGCACGCCGCCAGCGUUCAAUCUGAGCCAGGAUCAAACUCU